GACGAAGGGGGCUAGCGUUGUUCGGAAUUACUGGGCGUAAAGCGCGUGUAGGCGGUUGCCCAAGUCGGGUGUGAAAGCCUUGAGCUCGACUCAAGAAAUGCACUCGGUACUGGGUGACUAGGGGACCGGAGAGGAUAGUGGAAUUCCCAGUGUAGUGGUGAAAUACGUAGAGAUUGGGAAGAACACCAGUGGCGAAGGCGGCUAUCUGGACGGUUUCUGACGCUAAGACGCGAAAGCGUUGGGAGCAAACAGG
rnacentral:rRNA from 1 species